GAUGAACGCUGGCGGCGUGCCUAAUACAUGCAAGUCGAGCGAACAGACGAGGAGCUUGCUCCUCUGACGUUAGCGGCGGACGGGUGAGUAACAAGUGGAUAACCUACCUAUAAGACUGGGAUAACUUCGGGAAACCGGAGCUAAUACCGGAUAAUAUAUUGAACCGCAUGGUUCAAUAGUGAAAGACGGUUUUGCUGUCACUUAUAGAUGGAUCCGCGCCGCAUUAGCUAGUUGGUAAGGUAACGGCUUACCAAGGCAACGAUGCGUAGCCGACCUGAGAGGGUGAUCGGCCACACUGGAACUGAGACACGGUCCAGACUCCUACGGGAGGCAGCAGUAGGGAAUCUUCCGCAAUGGGCGAAAGCCUGACGGAGCAACGCCGCGUGAGUGAUGAAGGUCUUCGGAUCGUAAAACUCUGUUAUUAGGGAAGAACAAAUGUGUAAGUAACUAUGCACGUCUUGACGGUACCUAAUCAGAAAGCCACGGCUAACUACGUG
rnacentral:rRNA from 1 species